AAAGGGGGAGGAAGGGGGCUUAGAUGCUCCUCUGAGGGGUUCAGCCUGGGUUGGGAAGGCAGCAUUUGAGUAGGUGAAGGGGAGAAUUUGUCUUGAAGGGGGGCUCCCCAGUUUCAGAGCCCAUCUCCUUAGCUCCAGCCAUCCUCCCUCCCCUGGUUCCACACUGAACCAGGAGGGCUCAGCCUUGGGCUUAGCCUUGCUUCAGUUCCUUGGAGCCAGGACAGCCCUGCUCAUGCCAGCUUCUUCCUUUCGGCUGUGCUCAUACCCUGUUACGGAGAGGCAAUCUGGCCACUGCCUCCCUAAUGCAAAAAAUUACCCAGAUGCUAACGAUAAAGUAACAUAGGUGAUGGCCACUCGGUCUUGGCCAAAGUGCUCUCAGCUAGCAUGUACAGGCUGAGGCUAAACACUUUGAGGAGGACCUUGAGCUCCCUUUGGGAUGUCUCAAGCCCUGAUGGAGUCCCUCAGAGAUAGCCCUAGCCCUGAGACCAGCCUGGCUGGGUGGGGAAGGCUUUGUGUUCCUAGCGUCGAGCUCUCUCUCUGACACUUUGAUAACCUUGGGUGAGUCCCUUUCUUUCUCUGUGCCUCAGUGUCCUUCUCACGGUGGGGAGAAACAACAGCCCAUCCCCACUUCCACUUCCUCUACCUCACCUAGACCUUGUGAGGAUUAAAACACUAUCUGCCGGACACAUUCUGUGGUCUCUCCUGGGAACCUCCUUGAGGGGUUGGGGGUGGUGGAAGACGAAACCUACAAGUUCUAAGGGACACCGUAGAGCCUGUCUUUUCUGAACCACCCCACGAUUUCUCUGCACCUCAAAACGGAGCAGAGAGAUGGGAGAACAGCAGAAUGGAGACGGGAAAGUCCACCGAAUUCCAACCCCAACCCAACUCUCUUUGUCCAUUUGUGGAAGACACCAGCUCAGCUGGAAUUCUGCUCUCUUCCUUUGCCCCUCCUGCUUGCUCCUCCUCCCUCAUUUGCACGGCCCUCAAAGCCUCCCCUUCCCCUUCUUGCCCCAGUCUCAAUGCCCUUAUGUCAAUAAGAGAAAACUAAGGGGGACAGGAUACUUGGCACAUAUAGGGAAAGAUUCCGCCAGGUUAAGAAAAUUUGUGUCUGCAUUGCUGCUACAAAGGGGAAAACCAGAACCAAUGGGUAAAAAUGAUCAGGAGGCAGAUUUUGGUUUGAGGUAGAACCUUCCAGCCCACGCAUAGCUAUCAGGUGGAGGGGUGGCUGCUCAGGACACCUGCAGGCAGAGGGUGGGGGUCACAGCUUCUGGUAGGAAGGUUUCUCAAGGAUCUCACUCAGGCCAAGGCCAUCUUUACUGAAUGCCAGUGCAGGUGCUGGCAGAGACAACAGCAAGAAAGACAGUAUUCCUGGCCUCCAGGAGCUUACAGGGUAGUUAGGAAGCCAGGGCAAUAGUGCCAACGGGGUGGUGAGUCUGAUUCAAGGUUAACAGCAAUGAGCACUAUACUGUCCAUCAAGUGAUUCCAGUGUGUAAACAACAUCUCCAGGGCUGAUGGCUGGAGAUCCCAUGAGUGGGAAAAUACUCAUAAGGAUUUCAAAGAGAGCUAAUUACCAGUAGUCCCAGGAAGCUGGGAACUCUCCCCACCUGGCUUUGACCCAGAGGGAGGCAGGGUGGUCUAGGGAAGCCAGGUCCCUGAUAGGUCUCAGUUCUUUGUUCGCUCCCUGGCUGGUUUCAAAGGCCAGCAGAUGGGGAUCAGUGGGGAGGCCAGAGGGAUUGAAUCUAGUGUCUGAGUUCCGUUGUCGUUCUCAUCUUGGCUCUUCACUGACAAAGUGGCAGAGCUAGAACCUCCCUCCUUCUCUCUGGGCCUCGGUUUCCUCAGCUGCACACAAGGAGUUGGACUGGACGCUUGUUAAACUUCCUUCCAACACUCACAUUCUCUGAUCCUCCCUAACGUCAACACAUUUUUCAAGUCAGGAGAGCCGCAUGCCCACGGAGCUGUUGACAAAGACUUGCCUGUGGGCACCAACAUCUCCAUCAUAGGCUGAGUGGGAGGGCUCCCCUCCCCCCAGUUCACUGCAGGCUCCCUGAGUGCCCCAGGCUAACAUCAGGCAGUGACUGGGGUGGGGGUUACCCAGAGGGGAGAGAUCUACUGACUUUUGGGAUAGAUCCUGGAGCCUCCCCGCCAUUUCUCUGGGGGCCGUCCUACCUUGCAGGUGGGCACCUCCCAGCCCUGGGCUUCCUCUGCCUGCAGUCAGGCCUGAUGAGAAGAGAAGAGAGGGGUCUUUGCUUCUCCUCCCUCGAAGCCCCCUCCUGGCAUCUUCCUGGAGCCUGGGAAGCGUGGAGAAGAAGCAGGCUUGGGCCUCAGCAUCUCACACCCACCACCUCCGGGAGGGGAGACCCCAGGUCGUCCUCUUUUUGCUCAACUCCAGGGACUCAGACCCUUUCUUGACUGAGACGCAUGAGUGCCUUCUGGGCCGAGAGCUGCCCCAGGGUUCCAGUUGGGCCUCCAGCCGCAGCCGCAGUCGCAGCGGGUCGCCAGGGACGCCAAUCCAAGACACCCAGGCCACCUGGCGCGGCGGGGGCGGGGCCCGGGGCUCCUCCUCCAGCCGGACCCCGCCCAGCCCUCGCCCCCCCAGUCCUUGGCGGGACUCAAGCUCCUCUUCUGCAAAUAUUUCCAGCCUCCGUGCAAGUAUUCUUAACUCUUUACGCCUAAUAAACAAGCACAGUUUUUUCAAUGGUGAAGAAAAAGCACCAGAUUUUUUUUUUUUUUCCUGAAGAAAUCCCCCAAGCCCCCCGCCUGCCGGCGGGACAGACACUCCCCGCGCGGGGCUGUAGCAACGUCUGUCAGGUUCCCCCCACCUCGUGUUUCAUCUCCUGCGCGCGCGUAGAGCAAAUGCUAGAGCGAUUUCAGCUGAUAGAAAAACAAAAACGAAAAAAAAAAAAACACAAAAAACAAAAAACAUGGCACGUUGCUAGUUUACAGGGUUUUGUGAGUUUAAAUGCCUUAUAUUUAACAAUCAUAAUUUAUGACUAACUUGUAGAUAUCGUGGGUUCUUAUUUAAUUAUUUUUAUAGUUGUUUUGCAUUUUUAAUUAUAAUUUAUUUAUUUAGAAAGGAUACUAAUUUUUUUUAUUCCUCCUAUUACCUCAUUUUGGCGUUGUUUCUGGGAGUGGAAUGCUUUGCAUGCAUUGGUACGAUGACAAACAACUACGAAUACAAAAAAAAAAUUUAAAUAAAAUUCCGCGAACUUUAUUUCGUCCAGACUAUCAGGGUGUGUGAUUGCAAGCUGUCCUACUGUGGUGCUGGCCUCUUUGGGUACAUUCCAUACGAAAUGCAAACCUUUGAUUCUGUAUGCUGUGAUCUAGUGAAAAAACUCCAAUAUAGUGACUGUAUUUAGCACAUAUAUAAAUAUAAUUUGCACUUGUCAGCAGACUGGGGUAAGCCUUUCACUUGCUAUCCUUGCCCCUCCCCCCAACCCUCCACCGUGAAUCUGUUUUUCCUCCUCCCCAUUCCCACAACCUCAGCCCUCCCUGCACCCCCAUCUUCCUAGGAAGGUCUGGGGCGCUAGAGGUCACUUGCUCCCCCUGGGCUGCAAACCUCUCUGACUCCAGAAUUGGGCCCUUUGGACAUUCAUUAGCAUCAGGGGUAUCUGAGAGCCCAAAGCCUGAUUUAUUUGGGGGGGGUGGGGCAUGGCCAGGGGGCAGGGCUUGGGGACGUGGUCAAGAGGCUUGGGUUUUCAGACCAGUUCUACAAACUUCCCUGUGACCUUGAGCAAGUCACUUCACCUCCCUGAGCCUCUGUUUUCUGGGCUGGGGUGAGGAAGGGGAACUGGGCGGGGGUGGGGUGGGUUCCCUAGGGUCCCUCAGACUAGAAUAGAAUAUGACAGAGCCGGUGGAACCCCCCAUGCUGGGUGUCUCAUCCUUCUAGGAGAGAAGAAAGGGAGAAUGGAGUGAAGGUGAGAAAGAGAGGAGAUGAAGCAGGGAGCAGAGAAUUUAUCCAGUGGAGUGGCUCAAAGGAGACCUCUGGAAGAGUCUGUCCUUUCAUCUGCAGCACCCUGCAGGGGACAGGGAAGCAAGACAGGUGGACACAGCCCUGGGCAGGGGACAUGUGCUUUCACAAGGUUUGAGAGUCAUUUGGAGAGUGAGCUGAAAUCCGUAUCUUGUUAGAUGUGGGGAUGGGGUUGGCAGAAUAUAAGCCCCAAACCACGCGUUUGGGAUUAGCACCCCCAUCCCAUUGUCUCUGAGAGCCUUUGUUGUUGAGGCGAUGCCCUUGACUGCAGAUUGGGAUACGGCUUUGGACCCAUGUCUCUCCUCCCAGCAUCUCUCCUUUACCCUCAGCCAUUGCUCCAAGGGGGCUGUGGGCAGGAGGGGUAGCUGAGGAGGACUGGGGUGGGCCUCCAGGCUCACUGCCCCCAGGAGAAGUGGGCGAGGGGGUAGGGGGGUUGGAGAACCAGUAGUUUCAAAGCCUGACACAGCAGUGAGCACAGCCAGGCUGCUUUUGAGCCAAAAGGAGGGAGAUGGGUCCCUGUCCCCGGAGCAGCCUCUGAGCAGCUCACACUCUCUCAGCACGUCUGCCUCCUCCCUCCUCGCCUCCUCCCCUUUCUUUCCAGCUCACCCUUCCCUCUGGCCUCUAGACAUCACUGCCUUUGCCUGAUGGAGAAACCCGCCCUCCACAGGAGCCCCCCUCUCCAGGAUGGUGCUGAAUGGGGAGGGAGCAGAGGCCCAGGUUAGCCGCACUGCCUGGCUGGGCUUAUAAGAGUGGCUGGGUCUUGCCGGGUCCUUAGACCCCACCAUUGCUCCGGCUGGACCAUGGGUCCUAUUCCCUGGACUCCCUGCCUGCUUCCCUCCCGGCUUCCCCUUGGCCCCACUCCGGAGCCAGGCUAACCUGCUUUCUGUGGAGGCAGCCCGUGGAGUUGCCCACUGAGGCACCAUAGCCACACUGCCGGGCCUGGCAGACACUGCCCCUCGGCUCCUGGACGGACACACCUUUUGCUGCUCUGUGGGGUCAGAGUGGGAAGUAGUGCCCAUUGACCUGGCUGGCCUGCCCCCCACCCCUCCUCACCCCAUCUUUCCCUCUCCCAAGCCCCACCCCUGGCCUUGGCCCUGGCUCAUUUCUCAGCUCUGGAGCCAGUGACACCAGGCCCUUGAGGGGGUAAUUUGGUUGCCCCUGGUAAGUGAAAGGAUUAUCCUCAGUGUUGAUUGUCCUUUUUUGUAAGCCUCCUGCUGUUCUGUUCUGUUGUGCUGUGCAACAUUUUGCUACAUAGACUAUUUUAUAGCAGAAAAGCUAGAAGAAUAUUUAUUAUGACUAUUAAAGCAAUAGUGCAUCAAUGAAAAAGCGGAGACAUUAGGAAUUGUGUAAAUGCUUAGAUUCACUUUUGGUGGAUUUUUUGUACUUUAUUUAUAACUAAUAAAAAUGAACUGCAUUGCUAAC
rnacentral:lncRNA from 1 species